rnacentral:rRNA from 1 species
CCUCGAUAGGGAUUUAAAUUGUUCUCAUUCCAAUUGCCAGACUUUAAAAAGCCCGGCAUUGUUAUUUAUUGUCGCUACCUCCCUGUGUCAGGAUUGGGUAAUUUACGCGCCUGCUGCCUUCCUUAGAAGUGGUAGCUGUCUUUAAGGCUCCCUCUCCGGAAUCGUACCCUAAUACUCCGUUACCCGUUACUGGCAUGGUAGGCCAAUACCCUACCAUCCAAACCUGAUAGGGCAGAAACUUAUAUGAUUUAUCGCACAGAGUGCGAUCCGCACAGUUAUUAUGAUUCAACUCAAUACCGGCAAAGCCGCAUUGGUUUCUUUCUAAUAAAUGCUACCCUUCCAAAAAGUCGGGUAUUUAUGCAUGUAUUAGCUCUAGAAUUACUACGGUUAUCCAAGUAGUAAGGUACUAUCAAAUAAACUAUAACUGAUAUAAUGAGCUAUUCGCAGUUUCACAGUACAAAAUUGUUUAUACUUAGACAUGCAUGGCUUAAUCCUUGAGACAAGCGUAUGUGACNGGCAGGAUCAACCAGAUUGUCNAA